UAGUCCACGCCGUAAACGAUGGAUACUAGCUGUCCGGCACCUUGAGUGCUGGGCGGCCAAGCGAAAGUGAUAAGUAUCCCACCUGGGGAGUACGUUCGCAAGAAUGAAACUCAAAGGAAUUGACGGGGGCCCGCACAAGCGGUGGAGCAUGUGGUUUAAUUCGAUGAUACGCGAGGAACCUUACCAGGGCUUAAAUGCAUAUUGACAGGCUGAGAGAUCGGUUUUCCUUCGGGCAAUUUGCAAGGUGCUGCAUGGUUGUCGUCAGCUCGUGCCGUGAGGUGUCAGGUUAAGUCCUAUAACGAGCGCAACCCCUGUUGUUAGUUGCCAGCGAGUCAAGUCGGGGACUCUAAUAAGACUGCCGGUGCAAACCGUGAGGAAGGUGGGGACGACGUCAAAUCAUCACGGCCCUUACGUCCUGGGGCCACACACGUGCUACAAUGGCCGGUACAGAGAGCAGCCACGUCGCAAGGGCGGGAGC
rnacentral:rRNA from 1 species